GCCUCGUGCUCAAGACUGAGGUUUCUUCAUUAACUUAUAUUCAUUUGGUUUUCAUAAGAACCAAGAAAAGGGUACCUCAUGCGCAUUGUUCUCGUUUCACUCUUUGGAUUUUCCAUAUUUUGGUCGUUCCUCUCUUUCCAGGAAGAGCGAGUGUCAACUGAGAUUAACAAACUGCAGAGAAAAGUUCAUGUACACUAACUAGACCCUUGUGUCCAUCUUUCAUUAUAAACAUUACGCGGUUAGGUCAACCCUCCAAAAGAUAUUUCCCAUGCUGUGAACAUUAUAUAACGUUAAAGUGCAUAUUCAAGUGGCGUGGGUUGGGCAGAUUUAGAUUUGUUGAAUGUAACUAUUCGAUGCAAAGAUUCUAUCUGUUGAUUUGAAGACUGUUUCUUUCCAAAAUUGCACGAAGCACGUUUGAUUAGGAGAACAAGCAACAGCGACAGAAAAUGACAACGAUGAUGAUUUUGCAUCAACAAAAGUUGGUAACCAUGAACUCAGAGGGCGAUAAUGCGGUCCUAGAGGCCGAAGGCAUGUUGUUGGAGUCGGUCAACGGUCAACAACAUUUCCGUCGGCAGCAAUAGCGUUGCUUCUCUGGAUGAUGAUAGCUCUCAUUCCUCAAGUUAGGGCUUCCUUUCCGAAGCUGAACUAUCAGACAGCUAACUGGUGCGUCUUCUGCUAGCAAACAAUAAAGGGUGGAAGCGCAUUAUUUCGAUGAUAAAAAUAAAGGAUUGAAGCCCGUGAUUCAAAUAGUUAUGAUUGAAUUAGCGCUUAUAAGCCAAAAAAUCUUUUCCUCUCUCUUCUCUUUUCAUUGUCUUCUUCAACCUUCAACCAUGGGGAGGGUUUGAAUUAGUCUCACCCUCCCCUCCAUCUCUUUUGAUUUUCUUCAAGCUGUUUUGUACUUUUCCUCCUCUUUCUCUUCUGAUCUGGAUCCGAGAGCUGUGCUCUCCCGAUCUAGUUCUAGAUUUGAGAGUUUGAAAUCUCCAAAUCUACUUCUAAAACCUAGGAGUUCUUCUCUCUCAAUUUAAAUCUAGGAGUUUAAAAAUGUUUUCGAUGACUCGAUACCCCUAUGCUCCAUCCAUGUAUAGGUCCUUUGCCUCUAGUUUCAAUGAUGAUCAUAGGAGCUCUAGCAUCUUGCUAAACUAUGAAGAUUUGCUCUUCCAAAUGUUAGAUAUGUGUUUAUUUAACCCAUUUUGGUUGUCUCCAUACAGCGAUGACGCAGAGAAAGCCGAACUUAGGUGCAUUUUGUAGUUAUUGGAGAAGGAAUUUCUGGCACGUGCUCAUCACUAAUGAUGAUACGAAAUCUAGUGAUUGACCGCCAAUUAUUUUGCUUGACAAAUCCAUUCCUUUGGAGUGAGUGUGUGCUUAACCUGCUGGUGGUUUGUUGAUCCUCUUUGUUUUCUGAAUUUGACUUCAUUUUGUAGUGUUCUGGCCUUGUUCUGCUUGGAUUUACUUUACCAUGAAAAUCUAUGUACUUCUCAUGUAUCCUUUUUAA